rnacentral:rRNA from 1 species
UACGGAGGGGGUUAGCGUUGUUCGGAAUUACUGGGCGUAAAGCGUACGUAGGCGGACUUUUAAGUUAGAGGUGAAAUCCCAGGGCUCAACCCUGGAACUGCCUUUAAUACUGGGAGUCUUGAGUUCGAGAGAGGUGAGUGGAAUUCCAAGUGUAGAGGUGAAAUUCGUAGAUAUUUGGAGGAACACCAGUGGCGAAGGCGGCUCACUGGCUCGAUACUGACGCUGAGGUACGAAAGUGUGGGGAGCAAACAGG